rnacentral:lncRNA from 1 species
AAAGGGACAGUUCAACUGUUAAGAGUUAUUUGUUCAGAUCCCAAUGCCCAAAUGGUGGUUUACAACCAUAUUUAACUCAAAGUUUCAAGGGAUCUGAUGCCUUAUUCUGAUCUCCACAGGCACCGGGCACACAUACAUACAUGCACACAAAAUAAUUAUUUGUAAAAAGCAAACCAAAAUGGCUAAGUCAAGAUUUUCUGCCACACAGCUUUCUACUAUCAAUUUAAACUCCCUGUCAGUUUCCAUUUCUCCUCUCAAAAACUACUUCCAGAGUUUUUAAAUAGACUAGCUCAAUAAUUUUCAGUUAUAAAUAUGAAUGCAUUUCCAAAGUAACUUUAUUACAAAUUCUAACACAGAUGACUUAUUUAGAUAUAGCAGGUUAAGUAAAGCAAAAUACCAGGGCAUAAGGAUCCAGUACAGAAAGCUCCACUGACUGUAAUUUCAACUACAAAGGUACAAAGCAAGAAUAAAGUUCUGAUGGUGUACUAAGAAAAUAGCAGAUAGGAAUGCAGAACUUGCCGUGUGUGUGUGUGUGUGUGUGUGUGUGUGUGUGUGUGUGUGUGUGUACUUUUAUACUGAACCAUGUAACUUGUCUCAACCCCACAAAAAAUUUCAAAGGAAAACUGUACAUUAGAGCAGCAUAUGAGGAAGGCACUCCCACACAGUAUUAAGAAUGAAACCAAGCAGCUUGUAUUAACAGAAGGAGCAGUCUUCUCCUUACCUGUCUUACAUAACCAACCUCCUUACUCAUCAAAUAUUCAGCUGCACCCCUAUGUCAUGUAUGGGCUUAGUAUACCUCAACUAAGUAAUACAAAGAAAUAAAAAAGUGCUAUCUCCUGUAGGCAUCUUGGGACACCCAAUACUUGGUGUCAAGACACUGAUCUGAGCUAAAUGUCUACAACUUUUCUCUAUUAAAAGACCGACUUUCCAAGAGUUAGCAAAUUCUCCAAACAGUUCUAUACUGAAAAACUAAAUGAAGUUGUGUAGUGUCGAAUUCUGGUUGAUAACUUUAGGGACAACCGUUGGCUCACAUCCACAGUAUUGGAAACUAACUGUAAAGUUUACAUAAUAGGCAAAUAAACUGCAUUAAACACU